GCUUGACUGCGAGCGUGACGGCGCGAGCAGGUGCGAAAGCAGGUCAUAGUGAUCCGGUGGUUCUGAAUGGAAGGGCCAUCGCUCAACGGAUAAAAGGUACUCCGGGGAUAACAGGCUGAUACCGCCCAAGAGUUCAUAUCGACGGCGGUGUUUGGCACCUCGAUGUCGGCUCAUCACAUCCUGGGGCUGAAGUAGGUCCCAAGGGUAUGGCUGUUCGCCAUUUAAAGUGGUACGCGAGCUGGGUUUAGAACGUCGUGAGACAGUUCGGUCCCUAUCUGCCGUGGGCGCUGGAGAACUGAGGGGGGCUGCUCCUAGUACGAGAGGACCGGAGUGGACGCAUCACUGGUGUUCGGGUUGUCAUGCCAAUGGCACUGCCCGGUAGCUAAAUGCGGAAGAGAUAAGUGCUGAAAGCAUCUAAGCACGAAACUUGCCCCGAGAUGAGUUCUCCCUGACCCUUUAAGGGUCCUGAAGGAACGUUGAAGACGACGACGUUGAUAGGCCGGGUGUGUAAGCGCAGCGAUGCGUUGAGCUAACCGGUACUAAUGAACCGUGAGGCUUAACCUU
rnacentral:rRNA from 1 species